rnacentral:rRNA from 1 species
UUUAACGGCCGCGGUAUUUUGACCGUGCAAAGGUAGCGCAAUCACUUGUCUUUUAAAUGAAGACCCGUAUGAAUGGCAUAACGAGGGCUUAACUGUCUCCUUUUUCUAGUCAAUGAAAUUGAUCUCCCCGUGCAGAAGCGGGGAUACAACCAUAAGACGAGAAGACCCUGUGGAGCUUUAGACAACAGGGCAGACCAUGUUAAUAUAAUCUGAUUAAAGAACAAAACCAAUUGGACCCUGCCCCCAUGUCUUUGGUUGGGGCGACCGCGGGGGAACAAAAAGCCCCCAUGUGGAGUGAGAGUACUUCUCCCACAACCAAGAGCGACAGCUCUAAGUAACAGAAUUUCUGACCAUCAAGAUCCGGCCAGCCGAUCAACGAAACGAGUUACCCCAGGGAUAACAGCGCAAUCCUCUUUUAGAGCCCAUAUCGACAAGAGGGUUUACGACCUCGAUGUUGGAUCAGGACAUCCUAAUGGUGCAGCCGCUAUUAAGGGUUCGUUUGUUCAACGAUUAAAGUCCU